UUUCCUACGGGACGCAGCAGUGAGGAAUAUUGGUCAAUGGGCGAGAGCCUGAACCAGCCAAGUCGCGUGAAGGAUGACGGCCCUACGGGUUGUAAACUUCUUUUGUCAGGGAGCAAUUGGGUCCACGCGUGGGCUUAGCGAGAGUACCUGAAGAAAAAGCAUCGGCUAACUCCGUGCCAGCAGCCGCGGUAAUACGGAGGAUGCGAGCGUUAUCCGGAUUUACUGGGUGUAAAGGGAGCGUAGACGGCGCGGCAAGUCUGAAGUGAAAGGCAGGGGCUUAACCCCUGAACGGCUUUGGAAACUGC
rnacentral:rRNA from 1 species